UACGUAGGGCGCAAGCGUUGUUCGGAAUUACUGGGCGUAAAGGGCGCGUAGGCGGCCUGUUAAGUCGAACGUGAAAUCCCCGGGCUCAACCCGGGAACUGCGUCCGAUACUGGCAGGCUUGAAUCCGGGAGAGGGAUGCGGAAUUCCAGGUGUAGCGGUGAAAUGCGUAGAUAUCUGGAGGAACACCGGUGGCGAAGGCGGCAUCCUGGACCGGUAUUGACGCUGAGGCGCGAAAGCCAGGGGAGCAAACGGG
rnacentral:rRNA from 1 species